ACGAAAGAAGGUCGAAUACGGCGCCGACAACAAAAUUUAGAAGACAUGAACAUUCCGUCGACCGUAGAAGACUUACACUAUGGGCCUGGUAUCGAUGAUUCCAUAUGAUUUUUGAAGAAACGCCAGUGGGUACCGUUUACCCGGAUUUUUUUACGGCGCUCCGAAGAUUA